CACAUACACACAGACACUCCAGGGAUUUACUGGAGCUGGGUUUUACUGAAAGAUGGGGGUUAUGAAUACCUGGCAGGUCUACCAAAAGCCCACGAGGGGGCUGCCUCUUCUUCUCCAUGAUGGGCUCUCCCUGGGCGGCUUUCGACGAGUGGGCUGAACUCCGUCUCGGCACGUCUGGACCCAGAGCGGUCAUGCCCCCCUGCGUGUGCUGCGGGGACAGGGACACACCUCCAGGGCCUGCCCUUCCAGCAGGAGCUAUAUCCCCCAGUUCUUUGGUCAACAGAGAGAAAGAAAAAGAAGAGAAGAAUGAGACGGAAUAACUAAUAAAUGAUUCAG